CCUUUGCUCCCAGCUGGAAAGGCCUGGUGGUUAUUACCCACCAGAUUUGAGUUGAUUGGUUCUGGUUUUGAUUUCUCCUUUUUAAUGAAGCAAGCUCUGAGGUAAGCUCAGAACAAUGGAGAAGUGUUGACAAGUGGUUCAGCCUGCCAGUAGGGAUAUGACACACAACAAAACCUGUCCUCUUUUGGAGCUUGAUCUGUGACCUUCAGGAUCAGUGACCAGAUCCUUGCAAGUCUUACUCACGUGAGAUAUCCUGUCUCAUACAGGUUUUCCUACUGAAGUCGAAUAGACUACUUAGAGAUCCUUACAAUGCAGCCUUGACACGCAAGCUGUGCACUACUUCCAUGAUUUGGCUCUGACUCCAUUACUUAAAAGAAAGAAACUCACAGAGUUUACUAAGAAUUUGUUACUUGACAGACUACAGAACAGAAUGUCAUACUUUAUUUACUCCUGAAAAUAUCACACGUCUGCCCCUGCCCAGGCAGAAGUCAGCAAACAGGUCUGUCCUAAACAAAGGAAUGUGUGCUAAGCAGUAAACAGGAUCAUGAAGCAGGAAGGGAAAACAAAGGAAGCUCAAACAGAUGGAAAAAAUCCAGUAGGGAACAUCCUUCCACAUAGACUGUCUCCUGUUUCUCAGCUGGAAAUGUUUUUCAAGAGUGACAAUGAAACUAUAAAAAGGAGGGGCAAACACACCAAAGGACCCCUCUCUCUCCCAGCCCAUUGCAUUCUCUGCACUUGAGAAGACAAAAGAAACAGCCAUUGGACUCUGGGGAAGGGGUCCUGACCUGUAGAGAUUGGUCAGUAAUCUUGCUGGAAGCAUGUGGUGAGAAAUUUUGCUUGAAUCUGAUAUAGUUUAAGUUAGAUACUAGAAUGCAUUUUUUCUUUAUUUUUCUUGUAACCAUUUC